rnacentral:rRNA from 1 species
UGAAUACGAGAUGCUACGGCGUCGAAGCAGUGUAUGUCAGACUUCCAAGAAAAGCUCGCAAUGUCAUAAAUAAAGAAUGCCUGUACCAUAACCGACACAGGUGGGUAGGUAGAGUAUACUAAGGGGCGCGAGAUAACUCUCUCUAAGGAACUCGGCAAAAUAACUCCGUAACUUCGGGAGAAGGAGUGCCUUCUUUAAGAAGGUUGCAAUAACAAGAUCCAAGCAACUGUUUAUCAAAAACACAGGUCUCCGCUAAGUCGUAAGACGAUGUAUGGGGGCUGACGCCUGCCCAGUGCCAGAAGGUUAAAGAAGUUGGUUAGCUUUUGCGAAGCUGAUGACUGAAGCCCUGGUGAACGGCGGCCGUAACAAUAACGGUCCUAAGGUAGCGAAAUUCCUCGUCGGGUAAGUUCCGACCCGCACGAAAGGCGUAAUGAUUUGGAUACUGUCUCGGAGAGGGACUCGGUGAAAUAGACUUGUCUGUGAAGAUGCGGACUACCUGCACCAGGACAGAAAGACCCUAUGAAGCUUUACUGUAACUUGAAAUUGAAAUUGGACUUUAUUUGCGCAGUAUAGGUGGAAGGCGUUGAAAGUAAUCUUGCGGGAUUAGUGGAGCCAUCAGUGAGAUACCACUCCUAUAAUGUUAGAUUUCUAACUUUGGAUCAUGAUCUGGUCAAAGAACAGUUUCAGGCGUGCAGUUUGACUGGGGCGGUCGCCUCCCAAAUGGUAACGGAGGCGUACAAAGGUUUCCUCUGAACGGGUAGAAAUCGUAUCUAGAGUGUAAAGGCAUAAGGAAGCUUGACUGUGAGACCUACAAGUCGAGCAGGGACGAAAGUCGGUCUUAGUGAUCUGACGGUGCUGAGUGGAAAGGCCGUCACUCAACGGAUAAAAGUUACUCUAAGGAUAACAGGCUGAUCUCCCCCAAGAGUUCACAUCGACGGGGAGGUUUGGCACCUCGAUGUCGGCUCAUCGCAUCCUGGGGCGGUAGUACGUCCCAAGGGUUGGGCUGUUCGCCCAUGAAAGCGGUACGCGAGCUGGGUUCAGAACGUCGUGAGACAGUUCGGUCCAUAUCCGGUGUAGGCGUUAGAAUAUUGAGAGGAGCCUUCUUUAGUACGAGAGGACCGAGAAGGACAUACCUCUGGUGUACCAGUUAUCGUGCCAACGGUAAACGCUGGGUAGCUAUGUAUGGAGAGGAUAACCGCUGAAAGCAUCUAAGUGGGAAGCCCACCUCAAGAUGAGUAUUCUCAUAAA